rnacentral:rRNA from 1 species
AGUGAACGCUGGCGGUAGGCCUAACACAUGCAAGUCGAACGGCAGCACAGUAAGAGCUUGCUCUUACGGGUGGCGAGUGGCGGACGGGUGAGGAAUACAUCGGAAUCUACUUUUUCGUGGGGGAUAACGUAGGGAAACUUACGCUAAUACCGCAUACGACCUACGGGUGAAAGCAGGGGAUCUUCGGACCUUGCGCGAUUGAAUGAGCCGAUGUCGGAUUAGCUAGUUGGCGGGGUAAAGGCCCACCAAGGCGACGAUCCGUAGCUGGUCUGAGAGGAUGAUCAGCCACACUGGAACUGAGACACGGUCCAGACUCCGACGGGAGGCAGCAGUGGGGAAGAGUGGACAAUGGGCGCAAGCCUGAUCCAGCCAUACCGCGUGGGUGAAGAAGGCCUUCGGGUUGUAAAGCCCUUUUGUUGGGAAAGAAAAGCAGCAGGUGAAUACCCCGCUGUUCUGACGGUACCCAAAGAAUAAGCACCGGCUAACUUCGUG